GACGAACGCUGGCGGCGUGCUUAACACAUGCAAGUCGAAGAUAGUGGCGAACGGGUGAGUAAUACGUGGGUAACCUGCCCGCCUUUUUGGGAUAAGCCUUGGAAAGGGUGUCUAAUACUGAAUAAAGGGGGAUGGGGUCGCGGCAUAUCAGCUGGUUGGUGGUGUGCUGGGCUACCAAGGCGGUGAGGGGUAGCCGGCCUGGGAGGCUCACCGGCAACAUUGGAACUGCGAUACCGCCCCGGCACCUACGGGAGGCAGCAGUGGGGCAUAUUGCACAAUCGGCGAACGCCUGAGGCGGCGACGCGGCGUAGGGGAUGAAGGCUUUCGGGUUGUAAACCUCUGUCGCUAUCGAACGGGUAGGUGGAGAAGAAGCGCCGGCUAACUACGUGCCAGCCGCCGCGGUAAUAC
rnacentral:rRNA from 1 species